rnacentral:rRNA from 1 species
UAGGGAAUCUUCCACAAUGGGCGCAAGCCUGAUGGAGCAACACCGCGUGAGUGAAGAAGGGUUUCGGCUCGUAAAGCUCUGUUGUUGGAGAAGAACGUGCGUGAGAGUAACUGUUUAUGCAGUGACGGUAUCCAACCAGAAAGUCACGGCUAACUACGUGCCAGCAGCCGCGGUAAUACGUAGGUGGCAAGCGUUAUCCGGAUUUAUUGGGCGUAAAGCGAGCGCAGGCGGUUGCUUAGGUCUGAUGUGAAAGCCUUCGGCUUAACCGAAGAAGUGCAUCGGAAACCGGGCGACUUGAGUGCAGAAGAGGACAGUGGAACUCCAUGUGUAGCGGUGGAAUGCGUAGAUAUAUGGAAGAACACCAGUGGCGAAGGCGGCUGUCUGGUCUGCAACUGACGCUGAGGCUCGAAAGCAUGGGUAGCGAACA